CUUCCUGUCUGCUCAGAGCGCCGGUUCCUCACCUGUUCCUGAUUGGCAAUCAGCAGGGUUCACCAUUCAGCGCCGUCUCCGCUGGUUCUGCCCUGCGUGUGUCCCCUCGUCCGGCUAUCGGUGAAUUCCGUAUCAGGAUGCAGCUUGAUAAGUGAGGAAGGCACACGCUUGGCUUCCUACUCUUAGCCUGAAAGCUCUGCAGACAACUCAAGAAAACGCCCGUGUGUGGCCCUCUGUGGAAAACGUUUGGACACCUCUGGUCCACAGCCGCACCAAAAUGCUCUUGCUUUCUUUCUUGGCCCUUGCAUACAUCCUAUUUACUGUCUUUUGUAGAGUACCGUAUGUUCCAAG